rnacentral:rRNA from 1 species
UACGAAGGGGGCUAGCGUUGCUCGGAAUCACUGGGCGUAAAGGGUGCGUAGGCGGGUCUUUAAGUCAGGGGUGAAAUCCUGGAGCUCAACUCCAGAACUGCCUUUGAUACUGAGGAUCUCGAGUCCGGGAGAGGUGAGUGGAACUGCGAGUGUAGAGGUGAAAUUCGUAGAUAUUCGCAAGAACACCAGUGGCGAAGGCGGCUCACUGGCCCGGUACUGACGCUGAGGUGCGAAAGCGUGGGGAGCAACAGGG